UACGGAGGGGCUAGCGUUGUUCGGAAUUACUGGGCGUAAAGCGCACGUAGGCGGCUUUGCAAGUUAGAGGUGAAAGCCCGGAGCUUAACUCCGGAAUUGCCUUUAAAACUGCAUCGCUAGAAUUGUGGAGAGGUGAGUGGAAUUCCGAGUGUAGAGGUGAAAUUCGUAGAUAUUCGGAAGAACACCAGUGGCGAAGGCGACUCACUGGACACAUAUUGACGCUGAGGUGCGAAAGCGUGGGAGCAACAGG
rnacentral:rRNA from 1 species